rnacentral:rRNA from 1 species
UACGUAGGGGGCGAGCGUUAAUCGGAAUUACUGGGCGUAAAGAGCGCGCAGGCGGCCGCGCAAGUCGAGUGUGAAAGCCCCGAGCUUAACUUGGGAAUUGCGCUCGAAACUACGUGGCUGGAGUAUGGCAGAGGAAGGUGGAAUUCCACGUGUAGCGGUGAAAUGCGUAGAGAUGUGGAGGAACACCGAUGGCGAAGGCAGCCUUCUGGGCCAAUACUGACGCUCAUGCACGAAAGCGUGGGGAGCAAACAGG